rnacentral:rRNA from 1 species
CAGUAGCCGCGGUAAUACAGAGGGUGCAAGCGUUAAUCGGAAUUACUGGGCGUAAAGCGCGCGUAGGUGGUUUGUUAAGUUGGAUGUGAAAUCCCCGGGCUCAACCUGGGAACUGCAUCCAAAACUGGCAAGCUAGAGUAUGGUAGAGGGUGGUGGAAUUUCCUGUGUAGCGGUGAAAUGCGUAGAUAUAGGAAGGAACACCAGUGGCGAAGGCGACCACCUGGACUGAUACUGACACUGAGGUGCGAAAGCGUGGGGAGCAAACAGGAUUAGAUAACCCGGUAGUCCCUGUCUCUUAUAC